UACGUAGGGGGCAAGCGUUGUCCGGAAUUAUUGGGCGUAAAGCGCGCGUAGGCGGCCCGGUAAGUCCGCUGUGAAAGUCAAAGGCUCAACCUUUGAAUGUCAGCGGAUACUGCCGGGCUAGAGUCCGGAAGAGGCGAGUGGAAUUCCUGGUGUAGCGGUGGAAUGCGCAGAUAUCAGGAGGAACACCAAUGGCGAAGGCAGCUUGCUGGGACGGUACUGACGCUGAGACGCGAAAGCGUGGGGAGCAAACAGG
rnacentral:rRNA from 1 species